UCCAGUCAGGUAGCUCAACUUAAUGCUCAAAAAUCCAGGAAUUCACUGAGACAUAUUCAAAAUGGGGUGUGUUUGGUGGUCACAGAUGAGCAGUUGCUUCUUUAUACAGUUUGUCAUAGUAGACAAAGUCCUCUGUUGAUCUUAACACUGAGGCAAUUAUGACCUUUUCAGUCUUACAGCUGCUUCCUGACCACUUAGUAGAGCAAACGCUGGGAGAUGGGUUUUGAGCAUCAGCUGUGCUUGGGAGCCUGUGAAAUUGGGCAUAGAGCAACUACAAAUGUCAUAGUGCUUCUAGAGCCAACAUGGGUCCAGAGGCACUGUGUGCCUGCACUGCCCUGAGCAGGAGCUCUGGUGAUAAUAAGGCCUGUGGACUCAUGCCAGCAACUACCCAACACCGCACCCCUGGACCUGAAAUGAUUAAAAAAAGGAUGGCAAGAAAGCUGCAUGGUGCCACACAGUCAGCAAGAAGCUGUAGGAGUUCAUUAGCUCUCAUCAAGGUCUGACUGGGCUUAUUAACUGCAGCUCAGCACCUCAUUUCUUCAGUUCCUGGUGUGUGGGCUGUAGGUACAAGAAAUCCUCUGCAAUCUGAAAGUUCAAUGAUUAUUUUAAUAAGAGAAAAUUCUUAUUUUUUGCAAGAUCCUGAGAUAUUUCAGACUUAAAAAUCACACUAUAUUCUAUGAGGCUUUCCCAGAUUAAUUCCAACUGAGUGGUGCUUGGUUGAUGCAUAAACAAAACACGUGAAGAUACCAUAAUCACUAGCAAAACGGUGAGAAGUUCACCAUGCUGAAGAGGUGUAAGGUCCGAAAGCACAUGCACAGGCAUUUUAACUACAAAUAUGGCAACAGCUUCACUGUGAAAAAUAGAAGCACCAAAAAAGCAGAGGUGACAAUCAAAUCUUCAGUUACAAUCUGUUGGUAACAAGACACUGGAAACACAUGAGGUCCACAGAAGAUAGAAAAACCAAGCAGGAAGUACCAUUUCCAACCUCCUGUCUUUAAUUUUUGUAUGCUGUUGCUGAAGAGGAAUUGCCAAUUCUCUUUGUUCCCCUGGAGCUUGGAUUGCAGCACUGAAGAGCAGCCUCCUUUCCCACAGAUUCUCAGCAUCAGUUCAAUGGGGCAGCAGGGCAGAGCUGAGCAGGAGGGGCACAAAUGUUUUCCCAGAGUAACACAAGUGAUAGCUCCUUUAGCCAACAGGCUGCAGGACAGAGCACAAUUCUGUACCCAGGUUUGGUGCACUGAAAACUCCUUUUCUUUUAGCAGAUAGGAGUUGCAGUGGCUCCAGGCCAGCUAAGUUCGGUUUACAGCUGCUUUGCUUCACUGAAACAGCAUGAAGCAGUUUGAAUCAACAGUGAAUCUGGCCCUAGAUGUCUUAAAUCUUUAAUAUUUUCUUCUGUCUCAUCUAAUACAGUUGUUUUCCUGAAUUUCACAAGCCUGUUAAUUACCAUAUGAAAUUCAAAUGAAUGGUGAUCACUUCGCUAAAAGAACUCAUUCUCAAACAGUUCUUUCAUGUCCGCAUGAAGUAGGAUGACUUGUGUAGCUGGUCACUAUUUUCUGGAGUUUUAAGUGUCCUUUCUACAGAAGUUUGAAAAUACAUGUUUGUAUUUGUUACCCACAAUCAAUAGCAGCACUUAAUUCCCUUGUGAAUUCACUGUCUAAAGUUUGAUAAUAUUCCUUAUUAGCCCUACCUAUUUGAAUGCUUAUUCUUCUCUUAGUAAAAAACCCAAACAAACCAGACAAACUGGGGCAUACUUUCUGUUUGUAGUGUUUACAUGUGGUUGCUGAGCAGAUUUUCAGUGAGUUCUAGGUCUCUUUACCCUUCCUUUCAAUUAACCUGGUUACAGCUUCUUUUCUGAAUGAAAACAGACAUCAUUCUACAUGCCACACACAGAUUGGGAGUUCUAUUACUUAAAUAGUUUGACAGCCACAGUUGCCACUGAUUGGUUCUAGCAUUUUGCCAUAAAAGUUUAAUAAAUAAUACUUGAUUUUUAAAUGCUCAAAUGGUAACUACUUGGAGAGUGUUCUUUCCAUCACCAGCAUGGUGUUUUACCCUGAUUAGACAACUCAAGUUAUCUUAGGGAAGGCACAUGCAGAAAGGUGAUUUGCUGUGGCUUUCUGCAAAUGGGAAGGAAGA